rnacentral:tRNA from 3 species
AGGGGUGUAGCUCCAAUUGGCAGAGCGCCGGUCUCCAAAACCGGAUGUUGUGGGUUCGAGUCCCGCCACCCCUG